UAAUUCUAUGCAAAACCAUCAUUUUAAUUGAAGCAACCCUACCCAUAAGUGAGAUUGGAAGCGAUUUCCAUCUCUCAAGAUCCUCUUGUAUCGGCUGCGCUUGUGGUGCAGCGGGUAGCGCGACCCAUGUACAGAGGCCUUAGUCCUUGACGUGAAUCCGACCUGCAGUCCUUUGCCACAUGUCUCUCCCUCUCUUCCACCCCUUUCCUGCAGAACUUCCCCAUGCUGUAAGUGCCCUUAAUAUCACAUUGGAUCAGAUCAUAAUCAGAUCCUUUUCAAUAACUUGUUUUAAUGUAUUCACUGUCAACUGACUAAUAGGAAUGUUUUCUUCAUGAAUGUAUGUUUUCAUGAAGUCAAGAAGACCAAUUGUGGGAAAGAAAAAGGCGACAUGAUCAAAAAGGACUACAGGUGAGGGGUCAUGUGAUGAAUUAUGUAAGAUGACCCUAACUGUGUUGAUUUUGUCUUGGAUGAACCUGGACACAGCACGCACACACAGAGCUGCUUUUAAGAGAGUUUAUUGCAAGUAGUGGAUGAUGAUGACAUGAAGAACCAGAGUCUGUUACCAGGCGGAGAUGAGGGAUGCAGGAGCUGGCUGGCAGGAGCAGAGUUGCUACAGAACCGGGAGUAAAUCCAGAGUCCAUUAAGACGGGAACAGAGGUACAGAGUCCAGCAGCGCAGCAAACAGAAACAGGACAAACGGGAACCAAGACAGGAGGACAGGAGCAGACAGGCAUGAUGUAGGAUAGACUGACGUUUACGAGCCGGCGACCAAGAACAAACUGAGGAUGUGGAAGAGGUCCCUCUUAAAAUGUUCAGGCAUUCUGUAGCUGUUUCUGAAGCAUCAGAACCAUAAUCUGUUUCCUUUCGAGUGGAAACUGAGAACAUGACAGAACUGGGGAGGUUACUCUACACCAUAGAGGUAGCAGGGUGGUGUGGCACUACAACAUUUAAGGAGAAACUCUCCCUUGAAACUUCCGCCUGGAUCCAGAGGAGAUUGAUGAGCAGAGGGAACCGUUCGUGUUCCUUUAUACUUUACAGAAUGAUUAUGAGACAUUUCGCUAAGAAAUUGUGGACAAAAAGGCAAAUGCAGGUCUUGGCUGCCUUGAACCCUGACCCCUACAAAUGUCCUGUCAUGCUCUGUGUUUUUGGUCCCUGUUGUGCUUCUGUUUUAUUUUGAAGUUCAGUGUCCUGUAUUCUUGUAUGUCCGUGCUUGUGUUUUGUCCUGUGUUGUACUCUUUUCUCCGUGCCUGGUGUUACUGUGUUCCUCCUGUUGUGUGCGAGUUCAGUUUCCCAGUAAAAAUAAAGUCUGUUGUUCACCUACCUGUCUCUACCAGCGUUUGCAUUUGGGCCCAGCACUGCAUGAAAAGUGAGAUUUUCGUCCCCGUAAACUACCGCAGAUC